UCUGUUUUUUGAUUAUCUUUUCCAGUAUCUUCCCAGGUGUUAGGCUGAUUGGUGUAUAGUUUCAUGGAUAUUUUUUUUCUUGGUCAUGUUUGAAAACCCAGUUUCUUAUAUUUGUACAAUACACUGAACUUAAAACUAAUCAAGCUAGACUAGACCUGGCCAGUUUACAGUUCAGUGUGUUGUUGAACCUGGAUUCAGGAAGACCAAAAACAGAAUGCUAAUCAGCGAGUGAAUGGAUGAUGCAGCUACUGCAUCACACACAGAGUGCAACAGACCUGCAGCUGUUCCUCAGACCUCCCCCUACCUAAGAAGCACCAGGUCACCUUGAACAAGUCUACUGGCCAACUGCCUCCGGGCAAACCAUGCUAUAGUAAUCUCUUCUGCCACGUUUUCUCCUAUACCACCACUUCUGAGCACCAAGAGCUUCCUAAGAUCUACCAGCAGAGAGAAUCUGCACAGGGACAUCUGAUAGGAAGAUGGAAUAUGAAAUUUUUUGCUACUCCCACAAUCCCAAUAUAAGAAAUAAUAUCAGUAAUCAAGAUCAUAAUGGCAGUUUUCCUACUACUGAGAAUAAUGUGGAAAAGUGAUCUGUUUUCUGAUAAACUAGCUGAUGCUUUAUCAGUUGAAGAGCAGGGUGAGUAUAGCUUUGCAGGCUGUAUAAACGAUCCGCACAGUCCACAAGUAUGCCCUAAAAUAUUGUGAACUAAUGAAGAACAGUUCCAGUCAGAGAACUCAUUUGAUACCUAGUGGUAGAGAGACAAAAGGAGGAUCGGAGAGAGAGAGAAAAGGAAAAAAAGAGGGAUGGCAGGUUUAACCUGCUCUUAGGUCUCUCCACCAUUGUCUCUGCUUCCAGUGGGCUUUUUCUUGAGGACGAAGAGAAAAAAAAAUCUUACCUGUGCCAAGUCAAACUCUUCAGCAAAAUGAAAUAUUCAUUAUAACACUCCCAGACACACCGUAGAAAAGCGAACUGACUGAAUUGAAUAUUGAAAAUUGAAUUGUAGAUCCAAAGCAAAGCAAUAUAAACAAGGGUACAUCUGGAUGUUAGUUUGUUAAUUUUUUCUUGGUUGAUUUGGUCCUUUUGCUGUUGUCAAUUCAGAUCCACAAGGCUAAUCUUCAAACUCUGUUCCAAGAUAGGAAUCUAAAAAUAAGUCCUUCAGUGCUACAUCACCUCUCUAUGAAUGUCCCUGAGCUAUCUGAGAGGAGCCAUGGCAGGGGCAUCCACAGGUAUGGUAAAAAAAAAAAAAGAUAAGAUGCUGGUCAUGAUGAUGCAAAAAGCUCUGCCCAUCACAUGUUCAUAUAAGACAGGUGGAUCUUCAUUGAUCUUAACAGCCCAACUUUAAAGAGAGGAGAACCUGCUUACAGCUAUUUGCAUAUGAGGAACAGAUUUCCUGAAUUGGGCCUCUCAGGUAAGCUGAUCCUAUUUUAUGAAUCAUUUAUACAGUCUUUACUAUUUUAAUAUUGCUCUUGCUUCAGCUGUGGUUACAGCAAGAACAGCAUUAUCCAGGGGUUAGUUAUCUAAUCAUGCCUUUACUGGAAAUAAAUGUAAAAUAAUACAAAUAAAAAUAAAGACAACAAAAUCAGAAAUAAAAUUAUCAUGCUUUUAUUUUUUUUCUAAAAUACUUUUAUUAAAGAAUUUAAUAAUGUUAAAUGGUCAUUCAAACUGAAAUCAGAGGAAAAUAAGAAAAUAAAAGAAAUACAAGUGCAAAAAAUGAAAAACGAAAAGAAAAAAGUAUGAAUAAAGCAAGAAGAAAAGUAUUAAAUUAAACAAUUAAAGAACUGAUUCCCAAUCUUUCUUGCAAUAAGUUUAGACAAUUUAAAUUCCCCACCGUCUAUAAUAUUAUAUACAUGUUUCACGUCUUCUUAUAAUUCCCAUUAUCCAAUAACAAUUAUUGGCAAAAAGUCCAUAAAGAGUUUCCAGAAUUUUAUAAAAAUAUUUCUUUAGCUUUGGCUAAAAGGAAAAACAGUUUUCUAAACUUCCAAAGGAGCAUGGAUGCCAUGCUAAAAUGAUAACAUCACCUUUGUUAAAAAGCUGACAAUGAAGCCUAACAUUCCAGGAUACAAAUCCCCCACUUGAUUUGCAACCUAUUAUUUGCUUAAUCACUCUUAUUUUUAGUAAGCAAGUGAGCAGUUGAUAUCUGAAAUUGCAUGGGAGUGUUCCUGGGGGCAGAACUAAGAAUAAUGGCAACAUUGCCUUGCAGAUACAUUGAAGAAGACAGCAUCCAGGCAAGGCAUGGGCUAUCUUAGCCAUUUCUACAAGCAGUAAAUAUUUCACUGGUCCCAAUCUGUCAACUAUGUCCCAAGUGUUUUGCUUUUCUUGAAAGGUUUCCCUGUUUUUUACCAGGGUAGAAACAAUUUUAACUAAUUUCUGUUGCUGGGUAACGAAGCUUUCAUGAAACACACAGCAGCUUUGAUUCAUGUACAUAUAGACCCCUCCCCUUUGUUCUACUAGUAUCGAAUCUAAGGCCAGCCUAUUUUGCAGUACUACAUCUUUCAGGAAAAGGAGUUCAUCCUGAAGUAGCUCACAGCUUUUUGUGGUAUUAUUUACAAAGCUUCAAAAGCUAUAGACAGAUUUGCAACAAAUUCAGCCAAAUCGUGAAUGUCUUCAUAGUUCAUAGCAACUCCAACAGCUGUAAAUAUUGUUCUCCAAAUUUGUUUUCUUCUAUGUAAUGCAUUCCAGGAGUGAUUGGCGUCCAUAUUCUAUACUGUAACUAUGUCUAAAUUAUCAUUUAAUUUCUUCUGGUGGGACCAGAUGAAUCCCUCCUGGCCAUAGACAAGAUAUUGUUCAAAUUCCUUGUCAGAACUUUGGUAGAGUUUUAAAACCAUGAAUGCUGCAAGUCUACCAAAAUCCAUCAGGUAAUCUGGUGUCUUCAGGAUUAUAUGUGAAGGUCUGAACAUUUUUCAAAGCAGAAGUGCAGUUUUGAGUACUGUAGCUAUUUGCCCCGUGCAGAUUUGCAUUCUAAUAUCCCAGGCUGUUUAAUCAUUAGCUGGAUCAGUACAAGUAUGACAGAAACACCGUGUGUAUAUUCACUAUGUAAUCACCAUAUUUUGAUGAGAUAAUUUCCAUCAUUCAAGACUUGCUAUGUGAAAUGAUGCAUAUAGUUUUGCUAAUACAGCAAAAUUAUACACUUUCUUUAUCAUUUAAUUGUGUUCCCAUUUAAUUCUAACAAAUGAAAUUCUUUUGCAUAUUUAUAGACCUGGAGAAAGGGAGGUGAGACAUGGAAAAGCAAAGAGAAGAUCUUGCCCUUUAAUUCUGUCAGUACUGCACUGUAAUGUAAUUUGUGUUAAAAAUAGAAGUGUUAACUUCUUGCAGUUUGACAUAGAUUCAGCAGAGGGAGCUAAAAGUACAUUCAGAUUUUGAAGAGAAAAAUCACUUUUUUUUCCUGCCCAUCUCUCUACAUACCAUUAAUAUUGUGUUCAACUACUAUAAUUCUCAUUGCUGUUUAGAUAUAUUUAACCUAAAUAAUACAUAUAUAAAUAUUCCUUCUCAUCUAGGUAGUUUAAUAGUCAUAGCACAGGCAAAAGGCAGCCAAUUAUUUAGACUACCAUAUUAUACAAAUCCAAGCUAAGUAGAAACACUUUCAAGAAAAUUGCAUGGAAGAAUGCAGAAACUGAGCUUAUCUUUAUCUUUUUUGCAAUGGUGACCCAGAAUGUUAAUUACUUGAGUAAAUCAUGGAUAAGCAUGUGGUAUGAGUUGUGCAUAUACUGUUUACAAUAAUCUUAUUUUAACAUAUAGUUCACUCUCAAAUUAAACUCAUGACACAUUUUAUUUCCUAGGGGACUAUGGGAAUAGUCUAAAAGUAUCUCUCACCCUCCCUCUUGUUUUACAGGCCAAGAAACUAAGAUGGGUUCCUUCUGAGAUGUUUACCAUGCUCACAUUUCUGCUGCAGGAUAAGCUGCCUCUUGUCAGUCCAUUGCCCUAGUCUUCAAGGUCAAUUCCCACAAAUGUUGUGUGUGUGUGUGCGUCUUCCUAGACUCACAGCUCCUAUUCAAAGAGCAGAUCAUAGCUGUGGCUAAGGAGCUUUUGCAAAGAUUCAUUUUAUUGAUUACAUUUAUUGGUCGUCCAUCUUACCAUAGGGUAACUUUUGAGUGCCAGUUAUGCCAAUUUAUGUUCAUUUACACCUUGAUCGCUUUCUGAUUGGACUACUGCAACAUGCUCUACAUGGGGCUGCCCUUGAAGAUCACUUGAGGUCACAACUGGUUAGAAUGCAACAGUAUAUGUGGUGUUGGAUGCCCCUAGGUUUGUCCAUUAUACACCCCUAUUGUGCGAGCUGCGCUGACUUGCAGUUUUUUCCCAGUUUUAAUUCAAGGUGCUGAUUAUUUUCUUUAAAGCUCUACAUAGCACACGGCCAGGUUAUUUGCACAAUCACCUCUCCCUAAGUGAUUCUGCCCAAUUCUACCAAACUGGAAAGAGCAGAUUUCCUCUAGAUUCCCUCCCUUAAAUAUUGCCAUUUAGUGGAACCAAGGAAGGGUCCCUUUUCCAUAGCAACUCUUGCCUGGUGGAAUACUCUUCCCUUAGAGUUUCAGCAGGUCACCAGCCUCUUGACUUUCUGGAAGGCUGCUAAAGGCUACUCCUUCCCCCUAGUGCUGGCAUAGGAUGAGGUUGGAGCCUGGAGAUCAUGGUGCCAGCUGCAUUGGAGGUUAUUGGUCGUGGUUUCAAGUUUUUCUUUUUGUCAUUGCUUUUUUAUUAUGUGUAUCAUUUUUCUAUGAUGUUUUUGGUUCUGUACAAUUGCUAUGAGCCACCCAGUUGUGUCUGAAGGUGGACAGCCAUAUAAGUCUUAUGAAUAAAUAAAACAAUUGACUUGUAGUAGCAC